AACGAACGCUGGCGGCAGGCCUAACACAUGCAAGUCGAACGCCCCGCCAGGGGAGGGGCGCCCGGGUGAGUAACGCGUGGGAAAAGGGCCUUCGGUUCGGAAUAACACAGGGAAACUUGUGCUAAUACCGGAUACAAUCUAAGGAUGAUAGAUGUAUCGCCGAGGGAGUGGCCCGCGUGGGAUUAGCUAGUUGGGGGGGUAAUGGCUCACCAAGGCGACGACCCUUAGCUGGUCUGAGAGGAUGAUCAGCCACACUGGGACUGAGACACGGCCCAGACUCCUACGGGAGGCAGCAGUGGGGAAUAUUGGACAAUGGGCGAAAGCCUGAUCCAGCCAUGCCGCGUGAGUGAUGAAGGCCUUAGGGUUGUAAAGCUCUUUCGCCAGGGAAGAUAAUGACGGUACCUGGAAAAGAAGCCUCGGCUAACUCCGUGCCAGCCGCCGCCGUAA
rnacentral:rRNA from 1 species